rnacentral:lncRNA from 1 species
CCACCUGCUCUCCAUCUUGGGUCCUGUCCAUGUAUGUGUUCCGCGCUCGCCCAGAAGUUCGGAGAAGUCGCCGCGUGUCCCAUUUCUCCACUGAGAACCACAGUGAGGGCUCUGGGUGUCCCGGAACCCUGAAAUGGGGUUGGUGUCAUUCGAGGACGUAGCUGUGGACUUCACCUUGGAGGAGUGGCAGGACCUGAAUGCUGCCCAGAGGACCCUGUACAGGGACGUGAUGCUGGAGAACUACAGGAGCCUAGUGUUCCUGGGGCACUGUAUGAACAAACCUGAGUUGAUCUUCAAGUUGGAGCAAGGACUUGGGCCAUGGAAUGUAGCAGAAGCCUCGGGCAGGAGCCUCCCAGAUGUUCAUGUAUUGACUGAACCAAUUGGGACCAGCCAGAAAAGUCACAAAGUGUGUGUGUGGCAAGGUAGAACCACCCAACACAAGG